rnacentral:ncRNA from 1 species
UUAAAUGUUACGAUGAGGACAUGAGUAAUUUUCUACGAUUCUCAGAGAGGGGAGCCUUAGGCUGUGAGCUUCCUAAUACGGGUUCAUUACUUACCACCUCUGAACUUCAGCAGUGAACGGAAUAUCUAGUAAUUGCUGACGGCAACAGCCGUUAUGAUGAACUUGAGCAGCUAACCUGAUAGUUAGCUGAAACAAGGGUGGAACCACGAAUUCAACACUCGUCCCUUUU